rnacentral:misc_RNA from 1 species
GAUGAAGAACGUAGCGAAAUGCGAUAAGUAAUGUGAAUUGCAGAAUUCAGUGAAUCAUCGAAUCUUUGAACGCACAUUGCGCCCGCCAGUAUUCUGGCGGGCAUGCCUGUCCGAGCGUCAUUUCAACCCUCGAACCCCUCCGGGGGGUCGGCGUUGGGGAUCGGCCCUGCCUCUUGGCGGUGGCCGUCUCCGAAAUACAGUGGCGGUCUCGCCGCAGCCUCUCCUGCGCAGUAGUUUGCACACUCGCAUCGGGAGCGCGGCGCGUCCACAGCCGUUAAACACCCAACUUCUGAAAUGUUGACCUCGGAUCAGGUAGGACUACCCGCUGAACUUAAGCAUAUCAAUAAGCGGAGGA